UACGUAGGGUCCGAGCGUUGUCCGGAAUUAUUGGGCGUAAAGGGCUCGUAGGCGGUUUGUCACGUCGGGAGUGAAAACUCAGGGCUCAACCCUGAGCGUGCUUCCGAUACGGGCAGACUAGAGGUAUGCAGGGGAGAACGGAAUUCCUGGUGUAGCGGUGGAAUGCGCAGAUAUCAGGAGGAACACCGGUGGCGAAGGCGGUUCUCUGGGCAUUAAUUGACGCUGAGGAGCGAAAGCAUGGGGAGCGAACAGG
rnacentral:rRNA from 1 species